GACUUGUCUUUCCAUAUAACCAGCAGGUUGACAUAUCAUCUUGUUAAGCGCUUGUUUCCUGUUGAGAAGCCAGAAUACAGGGAUUCUUCAUUUCUUCAUAUUUGACAUUCUUCAUAUAUUUGAAGUCCUUGGACUAUGGCCUAUGAAAAUUAUCCACAGGACAAUACACAGAGGAGUAGUGAAGUAGAUAUAUGGUUGGAGGAGAAAUUGCCCAAAUUUCAAGAUGUUCAUCUUUUCAGUGGAAAACAACCAACUGAUGGAAAAAUCUAUGUCAUGUAUCACGGUACAACCACAGCAGCAGCAGUACAAAUCAUCCAGAAUGGUUUUCAUCCGUCAGAAGAUGGCAUGUUAGGAAAAGGAGUCUAUGUGAGCAGAGAUCCGAGGAAAGCUGCGCGCUACCCCCUGGGCGAUAAAAGUGAUCAGGUUAUAUUGAAACUCAGAGUAAAUGUAGGUAGAGUGAUAAAGAUAGAUCAUCAGGGCCACGAUCUACAGAGGGAAUGGAGGAGUUAUAAAUUUGAUACAGCUUGGGUGCCUCCAUAUUCUGGCAUGGUUGAAAGUGGGUUAGAGGAGGAUUGUGUUUUGGAUCCCAAUAGGAUCAAGGUAAUAGACAUUGCUAUAGCCCCACCACCAUAUAUACAUUUCCUGCAACAAUUGGUUAAAGCACAUAGAAAAUAAAACCAAACAUUCAUUUUAACAAUUUGAUGAAUUAUUUUACAAUUACAUAGUUUUCUCCUUUCUUUAACUUUGAAAAUAUUUACUGUGAAUUGAUUUCAUUUUUAUUUCUAACAAGAGGCCAUUACAGGCAAAGGAGCAAAUACCAUGGAAACCAAGGGAAUGUUCCUCUGACACAAUAUUAUUAGUGCUUAAAUAAAUGUAUCCUCUUUAAAAAUGUUAACAGACAGGAACUGCAUUUCCUUGCUCUAGAUCAGGGGUAGUCAACCUUUUAAUACCAACUGCCUACUUUUGUAUCUUUGUUGAUGGUAAAAUUUCCUUACCGCACACCAGGGCUGCAGUAACUAAUUUUAUAGCACAAGUGCAAAUGUUUAUUAUUUUGAUUUAGAUUUUU